GGUUUUGGUUCAGUGGUAGAGUGCUUGCCUACCAUGUGCAAGGCCCUGGGUUCGAUCCUCAGCACCA
rnacentral:tRNA from 1 species